rnacentral:rRNA from 1 species
AGUGGCGGACGGGUGAGUAACACGUAAGAAUUUGCCUUUAGGAGGGGGACAACAACUGGAAACGGUUGCUAAUACCCCAUAUGCUUUCGAGUGAAACGGAAUUUUCCGCCUAGAGAGAAGCUUGCGGCUGAUUAGCUUGUUGGUAAGGUAAUGGCUUACCAAGGCGACGAUCAGUAUCUGGUUUGAGAGGACGAUCAGACACACUGGAACUGAGACACGGUCCAGACUCCUACGGGAGGCAGCAGUGGGGAAUUUUCCGCAAUGGGCGAAAGCCUGACGGAGCAAUACCGCGUGAGGGAUGACGGCCUAUGGGUUGUAAACCUCUUUUUUCAGGGAGGAAUAAAAUGACGGUACCUGAAGAAUAAGCAUCGGCUAACUCCGUGCCAGCAGCCGCGGUAAGACGGAGGAUGCAAGUGUUAUCCGGAAUCACUGGGCGUAAAGCGUCUGUAGGUGGUUUAAUAAGUCAACUGUUAAAUCUUGAGGCUCAACCUCAAAAUCGCAGUCGAAACUAUUAGACUAGAGUAUAGUAGGGGUAAAGGGAAUUUCCAGUGUAGCGGUGAAAUGCGUAGAGAUUGGAAAGAACACCGAUGGCGAAGGCACUUUACUGGGCUAUUACUAACACUCAGAGACGAAAGCUAGGGAGCAAAUGGGAUUAGAUACCCCAGUAGUCUAGUGA